CGGGGAAUAGCCCAGAGAAAUUGAUUAAUACCCAUAAUAUAUUUGAUAAGGCAUCUUAUUAAUAUUAAAGCUUCGGCACUUGAUGAUGGGUGUGCGGCUGAUUAGAUAGUGGCGGGGUAACGGCCCACCAAGUCUACGAUCAGUAGCUGAUGUGAGAGCAUGAUCAGCCACACGGGCACUGAGACACGGGCCCGACUCCUACGGGAGGCAGCAGUAAGGAAUAUUGGACAAUGGACGAAAGUCUGAUCCAGCCAUGCCGCGUGAAGGAUUAAGGUCCUCUGGAUUGUAAACUUCUUUAUAUGGGACGAAAAAGGGCAUUCUUGUUCACUUGACGGUACCAUAUGAAUAAGCACCGGCUAACUCCGUG
rnacentral:rRNA from 1 species